AAUGAACGCUGGCGGCAUGCCUAAUACAUGCAAGUCGAGCGAACACACGAGGAUCUUGCUCCUCGGACGUUACCGACGGACGGGUGAGUAACCCGUACAUGACCUACCGAUGAGACUGGGAUAGCUACAGGAAACCGGAUAUAACACACGACAAGAGGUUGAAACCGAGGGUCCAAUAGUGAAAGACGUUUUUGCUGGCCCUUAUAGGUGGAUCCGCGCCGGAUUAGCUAGUUGGUAAGGUAACGGCUUACCAAGGCAACGAUGCGUAGCCGACCUGAGAGGGUGAUCGGCCACACUGGGACUGAGACACGGCCCAGACUCCUACGGGAGGCAGCAGUGGGGAAUUUUCGGCAAUGGGGGAAAGCCUGACCGAGCCACGCCGCGUGAGUGAUGAAGGUCUUCGGAUCGUAAAACGCUUUUGUUCGGGAAGAACACCUGUGUAAGAAACUAUGCGCGGGUUGACGGUACCUGAUGAGAAAGCACCGGCUAACUACGUG
rnacentral:rRNA from 1 species